rnacentral:tRNA from 1 species
AAAAUCCGUUGAAUUUUGAAAUUGUGAGGGUUCAAGUCCCUCUAUCCC